CUGUAGGCUGCAACUCGCCUACACGAAGCUGGAAUCGCUAGUAAUCGCGGAUCAGCACGCCGCGGUGAAUACGUUCCCGGGCCUUGUACACACCCGCCCGUCACACCAUGAGAGUCUGUAACACCCAAAGCCGGUGGGAUAACCUUUAUAGGAGUCAGCCGUCUAAGGUAGGACAGAUGAUUAGGGUGAAGUCGUAACAAGGUAAC
rnacentral:rRNA from 1 species